rnacentral:rRNA from 1 species
UGCAAGUCGAGCGAAGAGAUGGGAGCUUGCUCCCUGAUCUUAGCGGCGGACGGGUGAGUAACACGUGGGCAACCUGCCCUGCAGACUGGGAUAACUCCGGGAAACCGGAGCUAAUACCGGGUAAUACAUCGCACCGCAUGGUGCAAUGUUGAAAGUUGGCUUUCUGAGCUAACACUGCAGGAUGGGCCCGCGGCGCAUUAGCUAGUUGGUAAGGUAAUGGCUUACCAAGGCGACAAUGCGUAGCCAACCUGAGAGGGUGAUCGGCCACACUGGGACUGAAACACGGCCCAAACUCCUACGGGAGGCAGCAGUAGGGAAUCUUCCGCAAUGGACAAAAGUCUGACGGAGCAACGCCCCGUGAGUGACAAAGGCCUUCGGGUCGUAAAGCUCUGUUGUUAGGGAAAAACAAGUACCGUUCGAAUAGGGCGGUACCUUGACGGUACCUAACCAAAAAGCCACGGCUAACUACUUGCCACCAGCCGCGGUAAUACGUAGGUGGCAAGCGUUGUCCGGAAUUAUUGGGCGUAAAGCGCGCGCAGGCGGUCUUUUAAGUCUGAUGUGAAAGCCCACGGUUCAACCGUGGAGGGUCAUUGGAAACUGGAGGACUUGAGUGCAGAAAAGGAGAGUGGAAUUCCACGUGUAGCGGUGGGAAACUGGAGGACUUGAGUGCAGAAGAGGAGAGUGGAAUUCCACGUGUAGCGGUGAAAUGCGUAGAUAUGUGGAGGAACACCAGUGGCGAAGGCGGCUCUCUGGUCUGUAACUGACGCUGAGGCGCGAAAGCGUGGGGAGCAAACAGGAUUAGAUACCCUGGUAGUCCACGCCGUAAACGAUGAGUGCUAGGUGUUGGGGGGUUCCACCCUCAGUGCUGAAGUUAACACAUUAAGCACUCCGCCUGGGGAGUACGACCGCAAGGUUGAAACUCAAAGGAAUUGACGGGGGCCCGCACAAGCAGUGGAGCAUGUGGUUUAAUUCGAAGCAACGCGAAGAACCUUACCAGGUCUUGACAUCCUCUGACAAUCCUGGAGACAGGACGUUCCCCUUCGGGGGACAGAGUGACAGGUGGUGCAUGGUUGUCGUCAGCUCGUGUCGUGAGAUGUUGGGUUAAGUCCCGCAACGAGCGCAACCCUUGAUCUUAGUUGCCAGCAUUUAGUUGGGCACUCUAAGGUGACUGCCGGUGACAAACCGGAGGAAGGUGGGGAUGACGUCAAAUCAUCAUGCCCCUUAUGACCUGGGCUACACACGUGCUACAAUGGACGGUACAAAGGGCAGCAACACCGCGAGGUGAAGCAAAUCCCAUAAAGCCGUUCUCAGUUCGGAUUGCAGGCUGCAACUCGCCUGCAUGAAGCCGGAAUUGCUAGUAAUCGCGGAUCAGCAUGCCGCGGUGAAUACGUUCCCGGGCCUUGUACACACCGCCCGUCACACCACGAGAGUUUGUAACACCCGAAGUC